AUGAACGCUGGCGGCGUGCUUAACACAUGCAAGUCGAACGAUGAAGCCCAGCUUGCUGGGUGGAUUAGUGGCGAACGGGUGAGUAACACGUGAGUAACCUGCCCUUAACUCUGGGAUAAGCCUGGGAAACUGGGUCUAAUACCGGAUAGGAGCGCCUACCGCAUGGUGGGUGUUGGAAAGAUUUAUCGGUUUUGGAUGGACUCGCGGCCUAUCAGCUUGUUGGUGAGGUAAUGGCUCACCAAGGCGACGACAGGUAGCCGGCCUGAGAGGGUGACCGGCCACACUGGGACUGAGACACGGCCCAGACUCCUACGGGAGGCAGCAGUGGGGAAUAUUGCACAAUGGGCGAAAGCCUGAUGCAGCGACGCCGCGUGAGGGAUGACGGCCUUCGGGUUGUAAACCUCUUUCAGUAGGGAAGAAGCGAAAGUGACGGUACCUGCAGAAGAAGCACCGGCUAACUACGUG
rnacentral:rRNA from 1 species